CGCAUGAGUUCUGUCGGUGCAUGUUGAAGAAUUGCUUAGAAGUCCUCACCUCAUAUUUUGUCACCCUCUGAAUAGCAGUCAGAUUUGCAGGGAGGACUGAUCGCAAGGUUAUUUUUUCACUCUUGUAAUAACUCUGAACAGUCACUAAAUGAGGACUACCUGUUGGACAGUGACAGCAGAAGAAGUGACUUUACCAGAAGUCCCCAUUCAUUCUCAAACUGCUUUUGUGGGACUGAGAAACAGAAACAGCAGGGGCAUGAAAUUACCUCUGUAUUUUGUUCUAAAAUUGUGUGAAUGGAAAUGCCUUUGGUAUAUUUUGUAAAGUCCAGCAGGGUUCAAAAUCUGCAAGAUGACAGCACCUUUGGACUUUGAUUUUGAAGCCACACCUGCCAUGUUGCAGAUUUGCAAAUUACACUCCUGUUUGCAAAUAAAUAUUAUCUAAGCCAGUGGGUCUUAAACGUUUUGCUGUCAGCACCUCUUCCAACUUUAAAAAUGGUGGAGGACCCACAAAGCUUUGGUUUAUGUGGUUUAUAUCUAUUGAUAAGUACUGUAUUAGAAAUUAAAUCUGAGAAGUGUUAAAAUAUUUAUUCCUUAGACUUUGCAGAUCUCCUGAAAGGAUCUCAGGUGUUCCCAGACCACACUUUGAGAAUCACUGAUAUAGGCUUAUUAUGUUGUUAAUGAUUAAAAUUAAACUUUAUUGGCAAUGUACGUGUCAGGUUUCGAGGUCGUCUCAAAUAAAUUGCAUUUCAAACAAAGUCUUUGAUGAAAAACUCCCAUUUAUUAAGCACAACAUUCUAACUCCGACUCCAUCGUAGCCAACACUGACUUCCAGACCCAAAACCCUCCCUUUCCGUUUCCCACUCCUCUGCACUCAUUGGCCAUCUUCCAAGUCACUCUACCCCUAAUCUACUGCUCCAGCUCAAAGGAAUUUCCCCCCUCCCAUCCCAUCUCCUAGGGGAUAUUAUCUCCAGGGAAAAUAAGUAGGUGAAAAGUCAAACGUCCCUUUCCAGAUGCCUCCGCUUCUCCUUCUUAUGUCAGCACUAGAGUAAAUGCAGCUUGAAGUGCUGACAGUACAAUUACUGGUUAUAAUCCUUUAAUAAAGGGUGAUGAAUGAUGAUUUUGAAUAUAUGUUUCAGAACUGAGAAUUUACAGAGGACAGUUUGAAGCAUCUUGCUUUACUAAGUCUCCAUCCCCACUUUCAAACUAAUUGCUGUAGCAUCUAUUCCUACUGCUGUUGGUUCCUUAGCUCUAUUUCAGCAAGAUGUACAAAAUCCUUCUUACUGAUGCUUUGACCUCUUUCUUGAGUCGUCUUUUAAGUUACCAGACUCUUCAAGGAACAGAACACAUUAGAAAGUCUUCCUGCCAAUGGCGGUAACCAUCGAGUCUUCUCCAGAUGGAGCUAGAUUGUCUCAUACUAACAUCUAUAAUGUCAACUCGAUAGUCACAGGAAAUUGUAGAAAAAAGAAAAUUAGAAAAAAAUGGAUAGGAUAAAAACUUCAUAAAGUUUGUAUGCAUAUAUAAUAGGGAGCAAAAAUACUUUUUUCUCAAUUAAGCUGGCUGGAAAAUGUAGGAUUCUUAAAAGAUUCCAUACCCAAAUAAGUCAAAUGCAACAUAUUCAAUUUUUCAUGAAUUGCUCAUAUUUGCAUAUACAAAUGUGUGCAUAUGCAAAUUUGCAUGUACAAAUGUGCCUUCUUUUGGACUCUUCUUGAAAGACUGUAUAGUAAAUAUUUCUUCACUGCCACCGUGAAGUAGGGGGACAUGAAAGGAGACUCCUCGAAGGUUGCAUUACAGAUAGCCUUCAAACUACACAACCACAAUUUAGCCCAAAAUUUCUAUUGCUAAGUGAGGCUGUUGUUAAAUGAGUUUUGCCCCAUUUCACAACCUUUCCUGCCACAGUUGUUAAGUGAAUCACUGCAGUUGUUAAGUUAGUAACUUGGUUGUUAGGUGAAUCUGGCUUCCUCAUUGACUUUGCUUGUCAGAAGGUGGCAAAAGGACCUUAGGACACAGCAACGGUCAUAAAUAUGAGUCAGUUGCCAAGCGUCUGAAUUUUGAUCACGUGACCAUGGGGAUGCUGCAAUGUUUAUAAGUGUGAAAAAUGGUCAUAAGUCACUUUUUUCAGUGUUGUUGUGUGGGAAAGGAGAAAGGAGUUUUGCUUUUACAGAAAUUGUAGAACAGGGGUGUCAAACUUGUGACGACAUGAAAAUCAAGGUGUUGGUCAUUACCUUUAAAGCCCUACAUGGUUCAGGGCCAGGCUAUCUUCAAGAUUGCCUUCUACUACAUAGCUCCCAGCGACCGGUAAGAUCCCACAGAGUCGAUCUCCUCCGGGUCCUGUCAGCUAAACAAUGCCGGCUGGCGGGCCCGUGGGGGAGGGCCUUCUCUGUGGCUGCUCCGGCUCUCUGGAACCAAUUACGUCCUGAGGUCCGGACUGCCCCCAUCCUAUUGGCCUUCCGCA